rnacentral:rRNA from 1 species
GACGAACGCUGGCGGCGUGCUUAACACAUGCAAGUCGAACGGAAAGGCCCUGCUUUUGCGGGGUGCUCGAGUGGCGAACGGGUGAGUAACACGUGAGUAACCUGCCCUUGACCUUGGGAUAACUUCAGGAAACUGGGGCUAAUACCGGAUAGGAGCUCCUGCUGCAUGGUGGGGGAUGGAAAGUUUCGGCGGUUGGGGAUGGACUCGCGGCUUAUCAGCUUGUUGGUGGGGUAGUGGCUUACCAAGGCUUUGACGGGUAGCCGGCCUGAGGGGGUGACCGGCCACAUUGGGACUGAGAUACGGCCCAGACUCCUACGGGAGGCAGCAGUGGGGAAUAUUGCACAAUGGGCGGAAGCCUGAUGCAGCAACGCCGCGUGCGGGAUGACGGCCUUCGGGUUGUAAACCGCUUUCGCCUGUGACGAAGCGUGAGUGACGGUAAUGGGUAAAGAAGCACCGGCUAACUACGUG